GAAUAUUGGACAAUGGGCGCAAGCCUGAUCCAGCCAUGCCGCGUGCAGGAAGACGGUCCUAUGGAUUGUAAACUGCUUUUAUACAGGAAGAAACACUGGUUCGUGAACCAGCUUGACGGUACUGUAAGAAUAAGGAUCGGCUAACGCCGUGACAGCAGCCGCGGUAAUACGGAGGAUCCAAGCGUUAUCCGGAAUCAUUGGGUUUAAAGGGUCCGUAGGCGGCCUUAUAAGUCAGUGGUGAAAUCUUCUAGCUCAACUAGAAAAUGGCCAUUGAUACUGUAGGGCUUGAAUUAUUGUGAAGUAACUAGAAUAUGUAGUGUAGCGGUGAAAUGCUUAGAUAUUACAUGGAAUACCAAUUGCGAAGGCAGGUUACUAACAAUACAUUGACGCUGAUGGACGAAAGCGUGGGGAGCGAACAGG
rnacentral:rRNA from 1 species